UACGAAGGGGGCUAGCGUUGCUCGGAAUCACUGGGCGUAAAGGGUGCGUAGGCGGGUUUUUAAGUCAGAGGUGAAAUCCUGGAGCUCAACUCCAGAACUGCCUUUGAUACUGAAAGUCUUGAGUAUGGGAGAGGUGAGUGGAACUGCGAGUGUAGAGGUGAAAUUCGUAGAUAUUCGCAAGAACACCAGUGGCGAAGGCGGCUCACUGGCCCAUAACUGACGCUGAGGAGCGAAAGCGUGGGGAGCGAACAGG
rnacentral:rRNA from 1 species